GAUACGGAAACCAGGCACGGAGAGGUGGGGCUGCUGCUGAGGUGAGCCAGGCGCUGUGGCUGACAGACCUUCGGAACUGGUUUGAGAGAGGAGUGUGGAGGAGUCUGGCGUUGUUGGCUGCCUGAGUGGACAGCUGGUCAGGCAUUUGUUAUAGAAACACAAAGCAGAGGAAGGAAGCCUAGGCCAGUCCCCUUCUUAGAAACUCUGACUGUGUGGAGCUCAACCGCUGUCCUGAGCAAAACAGUUACACGCUGGCUUACAAGUCGUUCUGGAGUCUACUGCACAGACCACUGAUGUAAAUCUCUGGAGAGUGACCCUUCCUUUCAUCAGCUGUUUUAACAAGCAGGCACACUCUGGGCUCCAGGAAGUGUUUCAGAGCUACUGGGUCUCUCCAUGCUCUGCUACUUUUCUGUUCAGGACAGCAAACUCUUCAAGCAGUCCUUUCCCUAGAUGGAUGUUUUCUUCAGUUCACCGGACUUCCUCUCUCUGGCAGCUGGACCUCCUUAGGUGUGUGGCUGGAAGCUUUUCUUUAUCAAUCACAUGAGAAUCAGGCUCAACUGAGGGAUGACCCUAAAUACAGUCACUUCCACAGAAGCAGGAAGGCAAAGAAGUUUUUCUUCCCAUGGGCAAAUCACCAAAGCAAAGCACACAAACCACUAAGGAAGCCUUUCUGACACCAGCUGACCUCCACCUCAACUCUUCAGAUCUCCUCCAGCAGACCUCCUUAAGUCUGUCUAUGAUUCUCAUCUGGAAACCCUGAUGCUGGUCUCAGAUUCUCCCAGCCCAGAGGGAAGCAAAUCUCACAAUGGGGAUCUUCACAGUGCUCCCAAAGACUCCAAGGCCUCACUCGCCUGCAGCAUCUGCUUCAAGCUGAGAAGAGAUGCUGGGUUGAAUGUGGGUGGUAUGAGGGUCACAUCAGGUACUGCCUUCUCUAAAUUGUCUGCUACUUUACUGAGUAUAUAAUUGUGUAUUUUUUGUCA